rnacentral:rRNA from 1 species
GAUGAACGCUAGCGGGAGGCCUAACACAUGCAAGCCGAGCGGUAUUUGUUCUUCGGAACAGAGAGAGCGGCGCACGGGUGCGGAACACGUGUGCAACCUGCCUUUAUCUGGGGGAUAGCCUUUCGAAAGGAAGAUUAAUACCCCAUAAUAUAUUGAGUGGCAUCAUUUGAUAUUGAAAACUCCGGUGGAUAGAGAUGGGCACGCGCAAGAUUAGAUAGUUGGUGAGGUAACGGCUCACCAAGUCAAUGAUCUUUAGGGGGCCUGAGAGGGUGAUCCCCCACACUGGUACUGAGACACGGACCAGACUCCUACGGGAGGCAGCAGUGAGGAAUAUUGGACAAUGGGUUAGAGCCUGAUCCAGCCAUCCCGCGUGAAGGACGACGGCCCUAUGGGUUGUAAACUUCUUUUGUAUAGGGAUAAACCUACUCUCGUGAGAGUAGCUGAAGGUACUAUACGAAUAAGCACCGGCUAACUCCGU